UACGAAGGGGGCUAGCGUUGCUCGGAAUCACUGGGCGUAAAGCGCACGUAGGCGGAUCUUUAAGUCAGGGGUGAAAUCCUGGAGCUCAACUCCAGAACUGCCUUUGAUACUGGGGAUCUCGAGUCCGGGAGAGGUGAGUGGAACUCCGAGUGUAGAGGUGAAAUUCGUAGAUAUUCGGAAGAACACCGGUGGCGAAGGCGGCUAUCUGGCCCGUAAUUGACGCUGAGGCGCGAAAGCGUGGGGAGCAAACAGG
rnacentral:rRNA from 1 species